AAGAUAAGCUGUCCUAUCGCUUUGGGUUUUACCCAAAGAGGAAAGUCCGGGCAGUACAGGGCGCCGUACUUCCUAACGGGAAGGCAACCUGCGGGUGACGGCAGGUUGACAGCAAGUGCCACAGAAAAUAACCGCCUGGCAUACUUUUUUGAAUGGCAGGUAAGGGUGAAAAGGUGGGGUAAGAGCCCACCGCCUGAGUGGUGACACGCAGGGCCAGGUAAACCUUACGGACUGAAAGACCAAAUAGGUGCCAGGAUAGAAGCGGCCCGUUUCGGCUCUGAAUUUAUUCAGGGCGUUGGCACGGGUAGGUCGUUGGAGAUUGCGGGCGACUGCAAUCCUAGAUAAAUGAUAGGAAUUUAACUUUGGUUAAAAACAGAACCCGGCUUACAGGCUUAUUUUAUUU
rnacentral:RNase_P_RNA from 1 species